AGAGUUUGAUCCUGGCUCAGAUUGAACGCUGGCGGCGUGCCUAACACAUGCAAGUCGAGCGGUAACAGGCGUAGCAAUACGUGCUGACGAGCGGCGAACGGGUGAGCAAUGCUUCGGAAUCUGCCCAAUGGUGGGGAAUAACCAGUCGAAAGAUUGGCUAAUACCGCAUACGCCCUUCGGGGGAAAGCGGGGGUCGCAAGACCUCGCGCCGAUGGAUGAGCCGAAGUCGGAUUAGCUAGUUGGUAGGGUAACGGCCUACCAAGGCGACGAUCCGUAGCUAGUCUGAGAGGACGACCAGCCACACUGGGACUGAGACACGGCCCAGACUCCUACGGGAGGCAGCAGUGGGGAAUAUUGGACAAUGGGGGCAACCCUGAUCCAGCGACGCCGCGUGUGUGAAGAAGGCCUGCGGGUUGUAAAGCACUUUUAGUGGGGAUGAAAAGCACAUUGCUAAUACCAGUGUGUCUUGACCUAACCCAAAGAAAAAGCACCGGCUAACUCUGUGCCAGCAGCCGCGGUAAUACAGAGGGUGCGAGCGUUAAUCGGAAUUACUGGGCGUAAAUCGUGCGUAGACGGUUAUCUAAGUCGGAUGUGAAAGCCCCGGGCUCAACCUGGGAAUUGCAUUCGAGACUGAAUAGCUAGGGUGCGGUAGAGGGAAGCGGAAUUUCCGGUGUAGCGGUGAAAUGCGUAGAUAUCGGAAGGAACAUCAGUGGCGAAAGCGGCUUCCUGGACCAGCACCGACGUUCAGGCACGAAAGCGUGGGGAGCAAACAGGAUAGAUACCCUGGUAGUCCACGCCAUAAACGAUGAGGACUAGACGUUGGAGGGGUAGCUUUUCAGUGUCGUACCUAACGCGCUAAUCCUCCGCCUGGGGAGUACGCCCGCAAGGUUAAAACUUAAAGGAAUUGACGG
rnacentral:rRNA from 1 species